rnacentral:rRNA from 1 species
UUUAUUGCCGUAGGAUGGGACUGCGGCCUAUCAGUUUGUUGGUGAGGUAAUGGCCCACCAAGACUAUUACAGGUACGGGCUCUGAGAGGAGUAGCCCGGAGAUGGGUACUGAGACACGGACCCAGGCCCUAUGGGGCGCAGCAGGCGAGAAAACUUUGCAAUGUGCGAAAGCACGACAAGGUUAAUCCGAGUGGUUUCUGCUAAAGGAACCUUUUGUCAGUCCUAGAAACACUGAUGAAUAAGGGGUGGGCAAGUUCUGGUGUCAGCCGCCGCGGUAAAACCAGCACCUCAAGUGGUCAGGAUGAUUAUUGGGCCUAAAGCAUCCGUAGCCUGCUUUGUAAGUUUUCGGUUAAAUCCAUACGCUCAACGUAUGGGCUGCCGGGAAUACUGCAAAGCUAGGGAGUGGGAGAGGUAGACGGUACUCGGUAGGAAGGGGUAAAAUCCUUUGAUCUAUUGAUGACCACCUGUGGCGAAGGCGGUCUACCAGAACACGUCCGACGGUGAGGGAUGAAAGCUGGGGGAGCAAACCGGAUUAGAUACCC